rnacentral:lncRNA from 1 species
GUCCUAGAGGAAGAAAUAAAUGAACUUAGAAAAAAUUAAUUGAAAAGGAGAGGGACUGUGAAAGGCUACACUCAGAAUUAGCAUUAACCAAGAAAAAACCAAAAACACUCCAGAAAAGCAUUUCUUUAGAUGGAGCUAGUGAAUCGAUUGACUUAAAACGUCAACUACAAAAUGUUGAGCAAGAGGCGAGUAUAUUACGGACCAAAAACCAAACACUCGAAAUGGAUUAUGAAAAACUUUUGGCCGAAAAUAAAAAGUUACAGCUUAGCAAAGGUUCCAAGAAAGGAGGACUUGUGAACAAUUCACAGUUUGAACUCAAAGGAAAAAUAGCAGCCUUGGAGAAAGAAUUGGAAGAAGCUAACAAAAGGAUUCAACAGUUCGAAGGUAGUAAAAAUGGCAGUAAAAGCUCUAAUGAUUUAUCUGAGGUUGAUAAGUUGAAGUCGCAAAUUUCCAAAUUAGAGUCUGAGAAAAGCAUUUUAAAAAGGCUGAAAGAGGAUCCAGUUACUGACAGUGUCAAGUUAUAUCUAAAACGUACUCCGAAGAAACCAACCGACCUCAUGGCAAAGAGUCAACUCAAAAAAAUGGUCGAAGAUUUAGAAAAUGAAAUUAGUGAGAUUUUAGUCGUUCUCCAGAAGUCUGAUGGGCCAGUGCAAAAGUUUUGGAAUCUGGUAAAAGCGAUGUUGAAAAAACUAGGCUGA